AUUGAACGCUGGCGGCAGGCUUAACACAUGCAAGUCGAGCGGGGGAAGGUAGCUUGCUACCGGACCUAGCGGCGGACGGGUGAGUAAUGCUUAGGAAUCUGCCUAUUAGUGGGGGACGACAUCUCGAAAGGGAUGCUAAUACCGCAUACGUCCUACGGGAGAAAGCAGGGGAUCUUCGGACCUUGCGCUAAUAGAUGAGCCUCAGUCGGAUUAGCUAGUUGGUGGGGUAAAGGCCUACCAAGGCGACGAUCUGUAGCGGGUCUGAGAGGAUGAUCCGCCACACUGGGACUGAGACACGGCCCAGACUCCUACGGGAGGCAGCAGUGGGGAAUAUUGGACAAUGGGGGGAACCCUGAUCCAGCCAUGCCGCGUGUGUGAAGAAGGCCUUAUGGUUGUAAAGCACUUUAAGCGAGGAGGAGGCUACUCUAGUUAAUACCUAGGGAUAGUGGACGUUACUCGCAGAAUAAGCACCGGCUAACUCUGUGCCAGCAGCCGCCGCUGUAA
rnacentral:rRNA from 1 species